UGGGGAAUAUUGGACAAUGGGGGGAACCCUGAUCCAGCCAUGCCGCGUGUGUGAAGAAGGCCUUUUGGUUGUAAAGCACUUUAAGCGAGGAGGAGGCUCCCAGUAUUAAUACUACUGGAGAGUGGACGUUACUCGCAGAAUAAGCACCGGCUAACUCCGUGCCAGCAGCCGCGGUAAUACAGAGGGUGCAAGCGUUAAUCGGAUUUACUGGGCGUAAAGCGUGCGUAGGUGGCCAAUUAAGUCAAAUGUG
rnacentral:rRNA from 1 species